rnacentral:rRNA from 1 species
UACAGAGGUCCCAAGCGUUGUUCGGAUUCACUGGGCGUAAAGGGUGCGUAGGCGGUCGGGUAAGUCUGAUGUGAAAUCUCACAGCUUAACUGUGAAACUGCAUUGGAUACUAUCCGGCUAGAGGAAUGGAGGGGAGACUGGAAUACUUGGUGUAGCAGUGAAAUGCGUAGAUAUCGUGAGGAAUACCAGAGGCGAAGGCGGCUACCUGGACAAUUGCUGACGCUCAGGCACGAAAGCGUGGGGAGCAAAAGGG